GCGCGAUUAGCUCAGUGGGAGAGCGCUACCUUGACACGGUAGAGGUCGCUGGUUCAAUCCCAGCAUCGCGCA
rnacentral:tRNA from 1 species